rnacentral:rRNA from 1 species
AAGUCCAUCAAUGAGUACGGUAGUACUGACAUGGCCCAUGGAGGGUGAAAGGCCCGUAAGAGAGGAGGUUUGGUAUGACAGUGUCUCUCUGGUUUGACCUUGGAGUCGGGUUGUUUGGGAAUGCAGCCCUAAGCGGGUGGUAAACUCCAUCCAAGGCUAAAUACAAGCACGAGUCCGAUAGCGAACAAGUACCGUGAGGGAAAGUUGAAAAGUACUUUGAAGAGAGAGUAAACAGUGCGUGAAACCGCUUAGAGGUAAACGGGUGGAGUUGAACUGUAAUCUCUGAGAAUUCAGCUGGCGAAUUUUGCUUGAGCUUGGACAAAUGGGCAGGGCCCCGGGGUAUGCUUAGGUGCAUGUUCUGACUUUCGGGUUGGGAUGCGCGUUGCUCUUAUCAAGGGUUGCGCGCCCCGGGUGUCCGGCUAGCUCUGUCACCAGUGCACUUUCUCAGGGUGAUCACCACGACCGGCGUGCUGCUUGGCUGUUCUAGUUAAACCGAACGUUCAUCGUCCUUGUGGCGUUGGGCGGUCGACACGGCAGGAAACUGGGAGCUUGCUUCGGCUUGCUUUCCGGUGUUUGUCGGCUUUUACGGUUCUAUGCGGUGUGUCGGAGACGGCGGCUAGUAGUGUGUGCGUGCGUAUCUAUCUGUUGGCAUAUUCUGGUUUGGUGGCUGUGUGCUUGUUCAAGCAGGCCCAGUUAUGGCCGGGGUAUGUCAGUGGGUGGUUGCGUGUGUGGCACUUUUCUGGGCCAACAGUCUGUGGUGUUGUGGUAGACUAUCCACCUGACCCGUCUUGAAACACGGACCAAGGAGAGUAACAUGUGCGCGAGUCAUUGGGCGUAACGAAACCCACAGGCGUAGUGAAAGUAAAAGUCUGGCUUGUCCAGUCUAAGGUGAGAUCCUGUCGUUGUUCAUGC